rnacentral:ncRNA from 1 species
GAGAGGACCCUAUGGAGCUUUAAUUUAUCCAAAAAUAACAUAAUUUAACCUAACCUAAAGGGAUAGUAAAAUUUUACAUGGGUUAACAAUUUUGGUUGGGGUGACCUUGGAGAACAAAAACAACCUCCGAGCGAUUAAAAUCUAGACUCACUAGUGACUAUAUCAGUUAUCACUUAUUGAUCCCAAGGUAUUGAUCAACAGAACAAGUUACCCUGUGGAUAACAGCACACUCCUAUUCUAGAGUUCAUAUCAACAAUAGGAUUCAUGGCCUCGGAUCAGGACAUCCUAAUGGUUUUCAUUUGUUCAACAAUUACAGUCCUACAUGAUCUGAGUUCAAACCAGAGUAAUCCAGGUUGGUUUCCA